rnacentral:rRNA from 1 species
AUUGAACGCUGGCGGCAGGCCUAACACAUGCAAGUCGAGCGGGGUUUUCGGACCUAGCGGCGGACGGGUGAGUAAUGCGUAGGAAGCUACCCGAUAGAGGGGGAUACCAGUUGGAAACGACUGUUAAUACCGCAUAAUGUCUACGGACCAAAGUGUGGGACCUUCGGGCCACAUGCUAUCGGAUGUGCCUACGUGGGAUUAGCUGUUGGUGAGGUAAUGGCGCACCAAGGGGACAAUCCCUAGCGGGUUUGAGAGGAUGAUCAGCCACACUGGAACUGAGACACGGUCCAGACGCCUACGGGAGGCAGCAGUGGGGAAUAUUGGACAAUGGGCGCAAGCCUUAUCCAGCCAUGCCGCGUGUGUGAAGAAGGCCUUCGGGUUGUAAAGCACUUUCAGUAAGGAGGAAGCGUUGAGUGUUAAUAGUACUCAGCGUUGACGUUACUUACAGAAGAAGCACCGGCUAACUCUGUGCCAGCAGCCGCCGUAACAC